UUGAAAGGGAAACGAUUGAAGUCAGUCAUGCUGGUGGGAAUCAACUUAGGGGAAACUCUAGGUGCACUUCUUCGCUUGGCAGGUUAACGUCGAUCUUGAAUGCCAUAAAAUAAUUGGGGGAAGGUAGCUCCUUCGGGAGUGUUAUAGCCCUUGAUAGAUGUGAUGUUUGGGGUCGAGGAUUGCAACGGAUACCUUUGGGGCUAGCCGCCUGAUCUCUAAUCGGUGUUGGGUUACGGAUAGCAUGCUGACCGUGAUCUAAUUGCUGGUUAAAAGGCUAGAGUGUGCACAACUNCGUUAAGGAUGUUGACGUA
rnacentral:rRNA from 1 species